UACAGAGGUCCCAAGCGUUGUUCGGAUUCAUUGGGCGUAAAGGGUGUGUAGGUGGCGCGCUAAGUCGGGUGUGAAAUUUCGGAGCUUAACUCCGAAACUGCAUUCGAUACUGGCGUGCUUGAGGACUGGAGAGGAGACUGGAAUUCACGGUGUAGCAGUGAAAUGCGUAGAUAUCGUGAGGAAGACCAGUGGCGAAGGCGGGUCUCUGGACAGUUCCUGACGCUGAGGCGCGAAGGCCAGGGGAGCAAACGGG
rnacentral:rRNA from 1 species